rnacentral:rRNA from 1 species
GAAGCCCGGAGAUGGAUCUGAGACAUGAAUCCAGGCCCUACGGGGCGCAGCAGGCGCGAAAACUUUACAAUGCGGGAAACCGUGAUAAGGGGACACCGAGUGCCAGCAUCAUAUGCUGGCUGUCCAGAUGUGUAAAAUACAUCUGUUAGCAAGGGCCGGGCAAGACCGGUGCCAGCCGCCGCGGUAACACCGGCGGCCCGAGUGGUGAUCGUGAUUAUUGGGUCUAAAGGGUCCGUAGCCGGUUUGGUCAGUCCUCCGGGAAAUCUGAUGGCUCAACCAUUAGGCUUUCGGGGGAUACUGCCAGGCUUGGAACCGGGAGAGGUAAGAGGUACUACAGGGGUAGGAGUGAAAUCUUGUAAUCCCUGUGAGACCACCUGUGGCGAAGGCGUCUUACCAGAACGGGUUCGACGGUGAGGGACGAAAGCUGGGGGCACGAACCGGAUUAGAUACCCGGGUAGUCCCAGCCGUAAACGAUGCUCGCUAGGUGUCAGGCAUGGCGCGACCGUGUCUGGUGCCGCAGGGAGGCCGUGAAGCGAGCCACCUGGGAGGUACGGCCGCAAGGCUGAAACUUAAAGGAAUUGGCGGGAA